UCCAGUUUAUCACUGGCAGUCUCCUUUGAGUUCCCGACCGUAUCGCUGGCAACAAAGGAUAAGGGUUGCGCUCGUUGCGGGACUUAACCCAACAUUUCACAACACGAGCUGACGACAGCCAUGCAGCACCUGUCUCAACGUUCCCGAAGGCACUCCAAUAUCUCUAUCGGAUUCGUUGGAUGUCAAGAGUAGGUAAGGUUCUUCGCGUUGCAUCGAAUUAAACCACAUGCUCCACCGCUUGUGCGGGCCCCCGUCAAUUCAUUUGAGUUUUAACCUUGCGGCCGUACUCCCCAGGCGGUCGAUUUAUCACGUUAGCUACGGGCGCCAGAGUUAAACCCCAACCCCCAAAUCGACAGCGUUUACAGCGUGGACUAC
rnacentral:misc_RNA from 1 species